rnacentral:rRNA from 1 species
CUACGGGCGGCUCCAGUGAGGAAUAUUGCACAAUGGGGGGAACCCUGAUGCAGCAACGCCGCGUGGAGGAUGACGCAUUUCGGUGUGUAAACUCCUUUUAUAUGUCAAGAAAAUGACGGUAGCAUAUGAAUAAGCACCGGCUAACUCCGUGCCAGCAGCCGCGGUAGAUACGGAGGGUGCAAGCGUUACUCGGAAUCACUGGGCGUAAAGGACGCGUAGGCGGGUUGGAAAGUCAGGUGUGAAAUCCUACAGCUUAACUGUAGAACUGCGCUUGAAACUUCUAAUCUAGAGUAUGGGAGGGGGAGAUGGAAUUAGUGGUGUAGGGGUAAAAUCCGUAGAUAUCACUAGGAAUACCUAAAGCGAAGGCGAUCUCCUGGAACAUUACUGACGCUAAGGCGUGAAAGCGUGGGGAGCAAACAGGAUUAGAUACCCCCGUAGUC